AGACGAUCCUAGCUCCCAGCCAUUGAGUCUUCCCAGCCGGGGCCCCAGACAUCGUGGAGCAACACAAGUCAUCCCUCCGCACUCUGUCUGAAUUCCUGAACCCACAGAUUCCAUGCUCAGAGGACAGCUGGAAGGCAGUUCUGAGUCGAAGAAGCCGAUGUGGCCUGGUCUGGAAGAUGGGAGAUGAGGAUUUUAGUCUCAGCUCUGCCUUGAACUUCAUUUGGCCUGAGAAUCUCAGAGAAAACCAUGAUUGGUGCCUCUGUUGAGUGUGGGACAGGAAGAGUUAACAUGCUGACAGAUGGCAUUUUUUACCUUCAGUCAAUAUGAACAAGGCCCCAAGACUAUGAUUCCAAACAUCUGGAUUUCAUCAAUAUGUGAUCUGUCAUCGUAUAUUGGCAUUCCCCAGUCCCCGCGCCAGAGCAAUGCGGCUGGUUUUAUUAAUACGUCAAAUACAUUAUCCGUGUAAUACACUUGUCUGGCUGGGGCCUCCCGCUGGGGCGGGGCGGCGGAUUUGAAUGUAUGAUGAAUCAGUUUGCAUUACAUGUUCGUAAGUCAUCAUUUGUCAGGAUUAAUAGGCAUCCCUGGUCGAGGAGGUGGGGGUAGGGCCGCCGGAGGAGAGCCGUGCAUUUAGCGAUGGCCCAUAUUUAUCUGCCAGUACCCAGGGGUGCCCUGAAAACAACCAUGUACCCUCCUGCCCAGACCCUGGGGCCGCGGCUGGUGCUCUGGGGGAGGCUACAUUUUUAGCAGUUCCUGAGUCCCUCGGAACCACAUAGGCCUAUCUGUCUCUGCUUUGGGCUGGGCAAACAUCUGAAGGGUAUGGCCGGGGCCAUUGGC